rnacentral:rRNA from 1 species
AGGGUUUGAUUCUGGCUCAGGAUGAACGCUGGCGGCGUGCUUAACACAUGCAAGUCGAACGGGAUCCAUCGGGCUUUGCUUGGUGGUGAGAGUGGCGAACGGGUGAGUAAUGCGUGACCGACCUGCCCCAUGCACCGGAAUAGCUCCUGGAAACGGGUGGUAAUGCCGGAUGCUCCAGUUGAUCGCAUGGUCUUCUGGGAAAGCCUUUGCGGCAUGGGAUGGGGUCGCGUCCUAUCAGCUUGAUGGCGGGGUAACGGCCCACCAUGGCUUCGACGGGUAGCCGGCCUGAGAGGGCGACCGGCCACAUUGGGACUGAGAUACGGCCCAG